rnacentral:rRNA from 1 species
UACAGAGACUGCAAGCGUUAUUCGGAUUCACUGGGCGUAAAGGGCUCGUAGGCGGCCAACUAAGUCAGACGUGAAAUCCCUCGGCUUAACCGGGGAACUGCGUCUGAUACUGGAUGGCUUGAGGUUGGGAGAGGGAUGCGGAAUUCCAGGUGUAGCGGUGAAAUGCGUAGAUAUCUGGAGGAACACCGGUGGCGAAGGCGGCAUCCUGGACCAAUUCUGACGCUGAGGAGCGAAAGCCAGGGGAGCAAACGGG